UACCAGCACCCCGAGUGGUCGGGACGUUUAUUGGGCCUAAAGCCUCCGUAGCCGGUUCUACAAGUCUUCCGUUAAAUCCAACUGCUUAACAGGUGGGCUGCGGAAGAUACUAUAGAGCUAGGAGGCGGGAGAGGCAAGCGGUACUCGAUGGGUAGGGGUAAAAUCCGUUGAUCCAUUGAAGACCACCAGUGGCGAAGGCGGCUUGCCAGAACGCACUCGACGGUGAGGGAUGAAAGCUGGGGGAGCAAACCGG
rnacentral:rRNA from 1 species